rnacentral:tRNA from 1 species
GGCCAGUUAGCUCAGUCAGUUAGAGCACGGUGCUGAUAAAACCAAGGUCGCGGGUUCAAUCCCCCCUUGGUCC